AAUACGUAGGUGGCAAGCGUUGUUCGGAAUUACUGGGCGUAAAGAGCGCGUAGGCGGUCUUGUAAGUCCCGCGUGAAAGCCCCCGGCUCAACUGGGGAAUGGCACGGGAAACUGCGAGGCUUGAGUUCGGGAGAGGGAAGCGGAAUUCCGGGUGUAGCGGUGAAAUGCGUAGAUAUCCGGAGGAACACCGGUGGCGAAGGCGGCUUCCUGGACCGACACUGACGCUGAGGCGCGAAAGCUAGGGGAGCAAACG
rnacentral:rRNA from 1 species